GAGCUCAUUUACAUACAAGGGCUGGGUCAGAUCUGUGCAGGGAUUUAAUAGGGAUCCUGAUAGGAGAUACAGUACCAUAGUAGCAGAGCAAUCCUGUACUGAACCAUGUCCUGGGCUGUCCUCCUCCUCUCUCUCACCUCUCUCUGUACAUAUUCGGCCGCACAAGUCUUUCUAAUACAACCAGUGUCUGAAUCAGUGAAAUUGGGGGAGACAGUGAGAAUCUCCUGCACACUCAGAGGUUACAGUAUCAGUGAUCGCUAUCUACACUGGUACCAGCAGAAAGCAGGGAAUCGACCCAGAUACUUAAUGUGGUUUGAUUCUGACUCAAGCAAACACCAGGGAGAUGGGGUACCUGAUCGGUUCUCUGGAUCCAAAGAUUCCCCUAAUAAUGUUGCCCAUUUAACUAUUAAAGGCGCUUUACUAGAAGAUGAUGCAAAUUAUUAUUGUGCUAUAUAUUAUCCACCAUCCAGCUCGUUGCACAGUGGAGUAUUGCUGUGAGGAACUGAAACAAAAAACUUCAGAUUCUUUUACAUCAAUUUACACACUGUUAUUAAAUAAGGGAAGGUUGCAGCUAAACUAUAUUAAAGUCAUUGGUAUAUUUACUGUAUAAUCCAGACUUGCUCAGGACUAGGGCAGCAGUGUGGAGUAGGGUGAAACAAAUGCUGUACAUUCUAAAGAAGAACUAUAGCUUAGGUUGCUCACCUUUGAGUUAACUUUUUUUUUUAACAAAUAUUUCUUAUUGAAUUUUUUUGUCAUACAAAAAAAAAACAGGAAGUACAGGUUACAUUCAGGUAAACAAGUUUAACCUACGACAGCGUAUGUUAUAAAGUGACA